AUUGAACGCUGGCGGCAUGCCUUACACAUGCAAGUCGAACGGCGGCACGGGGCAACCUGGUGGCGAGUGGCGAACGGGUGAGUAAUGCAUCGGAACGUACCUUUCAGUGGGGGAUAACGUAGCGAAAGUUACGCUAAUACCGCAUAUUCUGUAAGCAGGAAAGCAGGGGAUCGCAAGACCUUGCGCUGAUUGAGCGGCCGAUGUCAGAUUAGCUAGUUGGUGAGGUAAAGGCUCACCAAGGCGACGAUCUGUAGCGGGUCUGAGAGGAUGAUCCGCCACACUGGAACUGAGACACGGUCCAGACUCCUACGGGAGGCAGCAGUGGGGAAUUUUGGACAAUGGGGGCAACCCUGAUCCAGCCAUGCCGCGUGAGUGAAGAAGGCCUUCGGGUUGUAAAGCUCUUUCGGCCGGGAAGAAAUCGCACGGGCUAAUACCCUGUGUGGAUGACGGUACCGGAAUAAGAAGCACCGGCUAACUACGUGCCAGCCGCCGCCGUAAAAC
rnacentral:rRNA from 1 species